CUUCUUCCACACACCCUAGACCAUAAGAACCCCAAAAACCAGCAAUAUCCAACGCCCCUAAGCAGCCAACGGUCCAUCAGCUGCUCACCGCUGACAGCCAUCAGUCGCCGGAAAAUCUAAGAGCCAACGAACCCCCCUCCCCCACCCUCUCCAAACCUCUAAGCCUGAGCCACCCAAACUCUUUCUCCUCUUCACUCCCAAGCCUCCAGCCGUCCACCCUCUUCCACCAACAACACCGGCCAUAACACCCAAUCUCCAGUCACAGCAGCCAGUCGCUUCCCAUCCCAAAAAUCCUCUUACAUGCCUGGACAUGACAAACACCAAAACAGGGCAAGAAACCCAUUAACGACCAGCAAAAAUAGCUAGUACAAGAUUCGUAAAGUUUACAUUGCAACACCGUUUCAAACGGCAGUCUAGGUCCAAAAGCAAUGGGAAUUGACUAAAUCAUUCCCAAAAAUCUCCUCUCCGUUUCAAUGUAUUUUUAACGUAUCACGUUGUAUUUUUAUGUAUUUUAUUGUAUUUUUUGUCUUUUUUUGUUGUAAUUUAGUGUAUCUCGCGCUAUAUUCUAUGUAUUUCAUUAUACUCAAUAACUUUUUUUAAUCAUAUUUCAAUGUAUCCCGCUGUAUUUUAUGUAUUUCAUUAUAAUCACUGUCUCGCCGUAUGCCAUG
rnacentral:lncRNA from 1 species